CAUUUGUCUCGUGACAGACGGACCGAGCUAAUCCCUGUCUGAAGGAAUCCUACCUGCCUGAGGUCACAUGACCUGGAAGAGGAAACCAUCCCUCUUCGAAUGGGACCACCACCAACCUGAGGAGGAGUCCACAGGCUGAUGAACUGAUAUCCCCUGAUAAUACGACAUAUCAUUAGCCACGCCCCCCUCUCUCCCCUACUGCCCUGCGUUGGACCCUGAGCACCCUGAGGUGACUGGCUUGCUGCGGCAAAAAUCCCGUUCCCUUCCCUCCUGAGUAUUUCCCUUUCCCCGACCCCCCUCCCCUCCCCCCUCCCUGCCCCUCCCG